rnacentral:snRNA from 1 species
GUGCUCACUUCGGCAGCACAUAUAUGAAAAAAACUGGAAGGAUACAGAGAAGAUUAGCAUGGCUCCUGCACAAGUAUGACACUCAAAUUCAUGAAGCAUUCCACAUUUUU